AAGUUGGAGUUGAAGCUCAAGGCAAGUUCCUUCAAGUUCUUGACAGAAAUUACUUUUAUCAUCCAGCUCAACUUCUGCAGAGGAUAAUUUCUGGACAAGUUCACGGAUUUUAGCUUUUGCAGCAGUGAGCUGCGUCUCGAGAUCUUCGUUUACGGCCUUGAGAUUCUCGAGCUGGUCCUCGCUCGUCCUCUUUGAUUCCUUCAGUGUUUCCAUCUCAUUCUGCAGGCUUGCAAUGCCUUGUUGCGACUGCACUAGUUUGUGCAGCAGUGCCUCGUUGCCCUGCCUCCCCGACACCGAGCUACUAACAUCCAGAGCUUUGCCCGAUGAUUUGAUGAAACUCAGCUCAUCCUUCAACCCCUUUAUCUCUACUUUGUAUGCUGAAUGCAUCUUCUCCAUUUCAAGCAUGAGAUUCUGCACGGAUUCGAGCUCCAGCGCCGUUCCUGGCCCAUCUCCACCGAGGUGCUUCCUGAAUUCGUCUGUCACGGUGGAAUGGUCUUGAAACACGACACAACUGUUGAUGAUCCAUCCAAAAGUAUAAGCCAAAUCCCCUGUGAAUUUCUCAAAACUGAUCUUCCCUAUUUAGUAGCUUAUUG
rnacentral:lncRNA from 1 species